rnacentral:lncRNA from 1 species
UAUUUUCUAAAAUCAAAAAAUCCCUAGAUCUAAGAUCCUAUUACAUGAUUAUUAUAUAGCAUUAAAUCAAAAAUUAAAAUAUAUAAAUAUAGCAUGAACUACAUGUUGAUCAUAUCAACAUGUUUCUAUACUACAUCUAAUGUAUGUAUUAAACAAUAGAUCAGAUUUAUUACCUUGCAAGUUAGACGUUCUAACCUCUCUGAUCCGGGC